CAUUGAGGACAUCCAAAACUCACUCAAGAUCACCAAGUGGUAGGAAAGUACUAACUCCUGGGCAUAGCCCUAGGGGAGUGACUACAAUGUGAAUACUCAUGGAAUGCCUAGCCAGGUGAAGAAGUGAAUGCAUGUUGGCAUCCCAGAGGGACCCCCCUUAAGAGGGCAUAGUUUGGGGUUCAGAUUUGACUCCAGCAUACUGUUGAAAUUGGGCACAGGGGGCUAGUGAUUAGUCAGGAUCAAUCAGUGGAGAGGAGAUUAAAACUCACAUCUGGGAGUCCGGAAUCAGAACUUGUAGUUCUUUUUUUUGAAAUGGAGUCUCGCUCUGUCGCCCAGGCUGGAGUGCAGUGGCGUGAUCUCGGCUCACUGCAACCUCUGCCUUCCGGGUUCAAGCAAUUCUCCCACCUCAGCCUCCUGAGUAGCUGGGAUUACAGGCGCCCACCACCACAGCCGGCUACUUUUUGUAUUUUUAGGAGAGACGGGGUUUCACCAUGUUGGUCAGGCUGGUCUUGAACUCCUGACCUCAUGAUCCACCUGCCUUAGCCUCCCAAAGUGCUGGGAUUACAGGCGUGAGCCACCAUGCCCAGCCCUAUAGUAGUUCUUCUUUUGCCCCUUAAUAUCUUCACCCACAUGUCCUGUACCCUGCCUGAACCCUCCUCCUCUUUUUGUUCUGAUCUUUGAGCUCCCUAGAGCCCAUAAUUCUUUAGAGCAGGUAUGUCCCGAGUCUGAAACAUGCCCUUAUUUGUCCCAAGCUCUGGACAUUUCUCACCCCAAGGCGGAUCAAUCAUGAUUAAAUCACUCCAAUUAAACUUUAGGCUCCAGUCAGACCUUCAGCCAAAUGGAAAAAAAAACUAGGGGAUAAGGGAGGUAGUUGGAGCAAGAAAAUGUUAUUAGUUGAAACCUUACGGGACCUUCCUCCCUUAGUGAGUCUGUUGGCUAAAGGUUCUCUGGCUUCGUGAAUUAGAAUCGGAUACUGUUUCCAAGUUAGCAAAACCAACUCUACCCCAGCACCCCACGAGGAAGAAUGUGGAAGGAUCUCCCAUUGGCCGGUUGGGGCAAAAGCCUGAGGCAAUCUUUCAUCCCCUUUUGCCAAGGCGAGACUUUCCCAGUGACGGUGAUGUAGUUGGCCACUCUGACUAUGGGUGGACUCGGGUGUAGACCUCUGAAGCUGAGAUCACACGAAAACCUGGCCUCCCCGCCAUGUAGCUGUUGGAGAGUAGAAAAAUAGAGCACGCCUGAUGUUUCUAAAUGAGAAGACUUUCAAUAGUAAUGAAGAAUCCAUGGCACUCUCCUCACCCUCAAACACAUGGCAGUCAUUCACAUACAGGCCCCAAAGCCACUGUUAGUGCUGCAGUAGCUCCUGUGGACAUUGGAAAGCCCGGAGAGGGCGUGGAAGAAAUCAGCUGGCCCCCGGCAGGUUCUCUGGGGUUUUGUGCCCAAGGCUCCUGGAGCCCUAAAAACUUUCAAAAGUUAACUCCCCACGUCCCCAUCCUGCUUGGGUUUCUGGACUUUUCUGAGGCACCGGCAGAGGGGUCUCGUUGCUCCCUUGAGUGUAGGGGCAGCCCUUUAACCUGGCUCCUUGAGUCCCUGCUUUUUCUGCUUCUGUUGCCUUCUUCCUCGUCUUCCUCUCUCUCAAUAUCUCCCUCUCUUUGUCCCUCCCCAGUUCCUGACCUGGCCAUCCCGGGGUGCCCUUGACCAGCCCCGUGUCUCCUCAGGGUGUCCCAGCACCAGCCUGGCACAGAGUGGGGCUCAGUUAGAGUAUGUGGGAUGUUGGUUUCGCCAGGUGAGUGAAUGAAAGGACUCGACCACCACAGCUGAGCCACUAGCUGGGCCAUGCGAAGAGUUCUAGGUGCAAAGGCUGGAGGGUGGAAUUCAUUUUUGAGAGGUGUGUGAGCAGCUUCCGACCCCUGCCCCAUUUGAACGGGGGCCUUGCUGGUCGCGUCCCUGCAUUCACCCGCGCGGCCAUCCCGUCAUCCAACAGUUGAUCCUAACUGAGCACGCCCACGGCCCUGGUCUGGCCUGGGCACCGGCCACCGUAGCCCAUCCCUUGAUGGCCUCUGUGUCCCCAGGAGGGCGGGCCGGGGGGUUGCCCAGGGGCUGGAGCAGUGGACUGUGGCUCCAUAGAGGUAGGCCGGAGGGUGUGAGGGCAGAUUCAAGCUAUCCCCAGGGCUCUGCUCUGGUCGGAGCCAGCCCCUUCUCCCUCUCUGCCUUCCCCGCCCCAUUCCUGAUGCUGAACUGUUCUGGACCCCUGGCCCUGAGUCUCUCAGGACCAAAGUGGGCACGGGAACAGCUGUAGUGUGUGCCCCCCCGGGCUUUGGCCACAGGUCUCCCUCUCGAGGUGUGGUUGUGACUGCGACCCUUCCCUUGCCGUGAUGCCUUCCUCCCCCGGGGCUUGGUCCAGCUCCUUCACUCUCUAGCAGCUGCUGGGGCCCACCUCCCAUGCCGAGGACCAGCAGGGGAAACCUCCAGGGAGCAUCUGCAGGCUCUGCUUCUGCCCGGCUGCUGGCUUGCUCUCCCUGGUGGCUCUCCAGCGGCCAGCUUCCUCACCCACCCGGCACUCCGCUUUGCUCUGUCUCCUGAGGUGGGCCUGACCAACCUCCCCUUCUCUGCCUCAGUCCCUGGGCUCCAGGGCUCAGCUCCACAGCCCUCUGCCUAGCAGGCUGGUUCUCCCUGCCAAGCCCAUACCUGUGGUCACCUGGCCCUCCUGUGGUCUGAGUACCACUCCCCUGCCCCAGGAGCCACUCCCACUCCAGCUGCCUGUUUCCAGCAGGUUCCCAGUGCCCCCGACAAGCCCCUGCUGGUGUCUCCAUCUCCUGCCAAGCAUCCUCCAGUGCCUCCUCCUGUGGGCCUGGCCUCAGGGCUAUGGACAGACUCCUGUCCCAUCCCAGAGACCCCUCGUGAUCGUGCCCUGGCACGUGGGCCGUGGCCCGGCUGGGUCGGCUGAAGAACUGCGGAUGGAAGCUGCGGAAGAGGCCCUGAUGGGGCCCACCAUCCCGGACCCAAGUCUUCUUCCUGGCGGGCCUCUCGUCUCCUUCCUGGUUUGGGCGGAAGCCAUCACCUGGAUGCCUACGUGGGAAGGGACCUCGAAUGUGGGACCCCAGCCCCUCUCCAGCUCGAAAUCCCUCCACAGCCACGGGGACACCCUGCACCUAUUCCCACGGGACAGGCUGGACCCAGAGACUCUGGACCCGGGGCCUCCCCUUGAGUAGAGACCCGCCCUCUGACUGAUGGACGCCGCUGACCUGGGGUCAGACCCGUGGGCUGGACCCCUGCCCACCCCGCAGGAACCCUGAGGCCUAGGGGAGCUGUUGAGCCUUCAGUGUCUGCAUGUGGGAAGUGGGCUCCUUCACCUACCUCACAGGGCUGUUGUGAGGGGCGCUGUGAUGCGGUUCCAAAGCACAGGGCUUGGCGCACCCCACUGUGCUCUCAAUAAAUGUGUUUCCUGUCUUAAC
rnacentral:lncRNA from 1 species